AAUCUAAUCUAAAAGCUCUAAGUUGAAGCCAUUGCUUCAUACCUGAGCUACUUGGAUCAAGAUUAGCUUGCGGGGACCCUUUGUGUCGUUUGAUAUCUGUGAUCUCUAGCAUUGUUUGGUUGUUACUCAAGGACUACUAAGCAAUCUCAACUCGACAUGGUGAGCUGUUGCUUAGGAAGAUGAUCGUGACACUAGGGCGGACCUGUGCCUUAGAGACUUAAAAUAAAGAUAGAACUAGUUUAAUUAUGUUCUGAACUCUUUAUUUCCUGUUUUGAGACAAUGUAACACGCUUGUUUGAUA
rnacentral:lncRNA from 1 species